rnacentral:rRNA from 1 species
GACGAACGCUGGCGGCGUGCUUAACACAUGCAAGUCGAGCGGAAAGGCCCUUCGGGGUACUCGAGCGGCGAACGGGUGAGUAACACGUGAGUAACCUGCCCCAGACUUUGGGAUAACCCUCGGAAACGGGGGCUAAUACCGGAUACGACACAGCUUCGCAUGGGGUCUGUGUGGAAAGUUUUUCGGUUUGGGAUGGGCUCGCGGCCUAUCAGCUUGUUGGUGGGGUGAUGGCCUACCAAGGCGACGACGGGUAGCCGGCCUGAGAGGGCGACCGGCCACACUGGGACUGAGACACGGCCCAGACUCCUACGGGAGGCAGCAGUGGGGAAUAUUGCACAAUGGGCGGAAGCCUGAUGCAGCGACGCCGCGUGAGGGAUGACGGCCUUCGGGUUGUAAACCUCUUUCAGCAGGGACGAAGCGUAAGUGACGGUACCUGCAGAAGAAGCGCCGGCCAACUACG